UAGGAGAGCAGCGGUUGCUUCAGCGAAGAGUGCGAGUCUCGCAACCCGGACGCCCGGCAUCGAUUCCUACUCACCCUGAAACCUGCUGCAUUUUGCAAGCUGCUCGCAGUAUUUUAAAGCUGUGUGCGUCGGAAAACUUCCGUUGUUGUCAUUGACAUGCAGCCGGCCUAUAUCUAUGAAAGAAGACAAGUCGUCCUUACCGCUCACUUAGUCAUUGUGUAUUACAGUAUUGGAGCAGUGUUUUACCUCGCAACACUUGUGAAUUUCUGUAAUGCGGGCAACACGGCGUCUAUACCCCCUCCACGAGUAGUUAGGGAGACUUGGACUAACCUUGCCGAAGCACUGGAAAAGGUGCGGUAACGGAAUAUAUGUGCAAAUCUGACUUCAUGAAAGGACCGUAUGCUCCAAACAUAUUUUUCG